CUACGCCUACGGGACGCAGCAGUGGGGGAUAUUGCACAAUGGGGGGAACCCUGAUGCAGCGACGCCGCGUGGGUGAAGGAGCGAUUCGGCGCGUAAAUCCCUAUCGGCAGGGAAGAAGAUGACGGUACCUGACCAAGAAGCCCCGGCUAACUACGUGCCAGCAGCCGCGGUAAUACGUAGGGGGCAAGCGUUACCCGGAUUUACUGGGUGUAAAGGGGGCGCAGACGGCAAUGCAAGCCAGG
rnacentral:rRNA from 1 species